UUUUAUAAAUUAAGGCUGGAAUGAAUGGAUUAAUGAAGCAUUACUUUCUUAGGUUAAAAUUUAAAAUUAAUUUUUUUAGUGAAGAAACUAAAAUGGAAUUGUGGGACGAGAAGACCCUAUUAAGCUUUAUAAAAUUAUUUUGUUGGGGAAACAAAAGAAGAAAACUUCUUUGAAAAAUUGUAUUGGUAGGUUUAGAAUUAUUAUUAAUAAUAAUAGAAUAAGUUACUAUAGGGAUAACAGCAUAAUUUUUUUAAAAAGUUCUUAUUAACAAAAAUAGUUAUGACCUCGAUGUUGGAUUAUAAUUAUUAUAUAAUGUAGUUGUUAUAUAAAUUAGUCUGUUCGACUAUUAAAAUUAUA
rnacentral:rRNA from 1 species